UUACGGCCACAUCACAUUGAAACACCUGUUCCCGUAUGAUCACCAAAGUUAAGCAACGUCGAACCUGGUCAAUACCUGGAUGUGUUACCACUUGGGAAUACCAGGUGCUGUAAG